rnacentral:rRNA from 1 species
UACGGAGGGUGCGAGCGUUGUUCGGAAUUACUGGGCGUAAAGCGCGUGUAGGCGGUUGAGCAAGUCAGAUGUGAAAGCCUUCCGCUUAACGGAAGAAGUGCAUUUGAAACUACUCGGCUGGAGUACGGGAGAGGAGAGUGGAAUUCCCGGUGUAGAGGUGAAAUUCGUAGAUAUCGGGAGGAACACCAGUGGCGAAGGCGGCUCUCUGGUCCGAUACUGACGCUGAGACGCGAAAGCGUGGGGAGCAAACAGG